rnacentral:rRNA from 1 species
UGGGGAAUAUUGCGCAAUGGGGGGAACCCUGACGCAGCCAUGCCGCGUGAAUGAAGAAGGCCUUCGGGUUGUAAAGUUCUUUCGGUAUUGAGGAAGGUUGAUGUGUUAAUAGCACAUCAAAUUGACGUUAAAUACAGAAGAAGCACCGGCUAACUCCGUGCCAGCAGCCGCGGUAAUACGGAGGGUGCGAGCGUUAAUCGGAAUAACUGGGCGUAAAGGGCACGCAGGCGGUUAUUUAAGUGAGGUGUGAAAGCCCUGGGCUUAACCUAGGAAUUGCAUUUCAGACUGGGUAACUAGAGUACUUUAGGGAGGGGUAGAAUUCCACGUGUAGCGGUGAAAUGCGUAGAGAUGUGGAGGAAUACCGAAGGCGAAGGCAGCCCCUUGGGAAUGUACUGACGCUCAUGUGCGAAAGCGUGGGGAGCAAACAGGAUUAGAUACCCUGGUAGUCCACGCUGUAAACGCUGUCGAUUUGGGGGUUGGGGUUUAACCCUGGCGCCCGUAGCUAACGUGAUAAAUCGACCGCCUGGGGAGUACGGCCGCAAGGUUA